AAGAAACUAACAAGGAUUCCCCUAGUAACUGCGAGUGAAGAGGGAAAAGCUCAAAUUUAAAAUCUGGCAGUCUCUGAUUGUCCGAGUUGUAAUUUAGAGAAGUGUUACCCGUGUUGGACCGUGUACAAGUCUCCUGGAAUGGAGCGUCAUAGAGGGUGAGAAUCCCGUCUUUGAUACGGAUCCCAAUGCAUUGUGGUACACUCUCGAAGAGUCGAGUUGUUUGGGAAUGCAGCUCUAAAUGGGUGGUAAAUUCCAUCUAAAGCUAAAUAUUGGGGAGAGACCGAUAGCGAACAAGUACCGUGAGGGAAAGAUGAAAAGAACUUUGGAAAGAGAGUUAAACAGUACGUGAAAUUGCUGAAAGGGAAACGCUUGAAGUCAGUCGCGUUGGUCAGGGAUCAGCCUUCCUUAUGGUUGGUGCAUUUCCUGAUUAACGGGUCAACAUCAGUUUUGAUCAGUGGAUAAAAGCUUGAGGGAUGUGGCAUCUUUCGGGUGUGUUAUAACCUCUUGUUAUAUACAUUGAUUGGGACUGAGGAACUCAGCACGCCGCAAGGCCGGGUUUUUAACCACGUUCGUGCUUAGGAUGUUGGCAUAAUGGCUUUAAUCGACCCGUCUUGAAACACGGACCAAGGAGUCUAACAUGCCUGCGAGUGUUUGGGUGGAAAACCCGAGCGCGUAAUGAAAGUGAAAGUUAGGAUCUCUGUCGUGGAGAGCACUGACGCCCGGCCCAGACCUUUUGUGACGGUGCCGCGGUUGAGCAUGUAUGUUGGGACCCGAAAGAUGGUGAACUAUGCCUGAAUAGGGUGAAGCCAGAGGAAACUCUGGUGGAGGCUCGUAGCGAUUCUGA
rnacentral:rRNA from 1 species